rnacentral:rRNA from 1 species
GUGAGGAAUAUUGCACAAUGGACGAAAGUCUGAUGCAGCGACGCCGCGUGGGUGAUGAAGGCCCUCGGGUCGUAAAACCCUUUUGGCAGGGACGAGUGAGGACGGUACCUGCAGAAUAAGUCUCGGCUAACUACGUGCCAGCAGCCGCGGUAAAACGUAGGAGGCGAGCGUUAUCCGGAUUUACUGGGCGUAAAGCGCGCGUAGGCGGUCGGGUAAGUCAGAUGUUAAAGCCCCUGGCUCAACUGGGGGAGGUCAUUUGAUACUGCUCGGCUUGAGGGUGAGAGAGGAGAGCGGAAUUCCCGGUGUAGCGGUGGAAUGCGUAGAGAUCGGGAGGAACACCAGUGGCGAAAGCGGCUCUCUGGCUCAUCUCUGACGCUGAGUGCGCGAAAGCGUGGGGAGCAAACGGGAUUAGAAACCCCAGUAGUCC